rnacentral:rRNA from 1 species
CCGGAGAACUGAAACAUCUUAGUACCCGGAGGAAGAGAAAGAAAAUUCGAUUCCCUUAGUAGCGGCGAGCGAAACGGGAAGAGCCCAAACCAACAAGCUUGCUUGUUGGGGUUGUAGGACACUCUAUACGGAGUUACAAAGGACCACAUUAGACGAAUCAUCUGGAAAGAUGAAUCAAAGAAGGUAAUAAUCCUGUAGUCGAAAAUGUUGUCUCUCUUGAGUGGAUCCUGAGUACGACGGAACACGUGAAAUUCCGUCGGAAUCUGGGAGGACCAUCUCCUAAGGCUAAAUACUCUCUAGUGACCGAUAGUGAACCAGUACCGUGAGGGAAAGGUGAAAAGCACCCCGGAAGGGGAGUGAAAUAGAACCUGAAACCGUGUGCUUACAAGUAGUCAGAGCCCGUUAAUGGGUGAUGGCGUGCCUUUUGUAGAAUGAACCGGCGAGUUACGAUUUGAUGCAAGGUUAAGCAGUAAAUGUGGAGCCGUAGCGAAAGCGAGUCUGAAUAGGGCGUUUAGUAUUUGGUCGUAGACCCGAAACCAGGUGAUCUACCCUUGGUCAGGUUGAAGUUCAGGUAACACUGAAUGGAGGACCGAACCGACUUACGUUGAAAAGUGAGCGGAUGAACUGAGGGUAGCGGAGAAAUUCCAAUCGAACCUGGAGAUAGCUGGUUCUCUCCGAAAUAGCUUUAGGGCUAGCCUCAAGUGAUGAUUAUUGGAGGUAGAGCACUGUUUGGACGAGGGGCCCCUCUCGGGUUACCGAAUUCAGACAAACUCCGAAUGCCAAUUAAUUUAACUUGGGAGUCAGAACAUGGGUGAUAAGGUCCGUGUUCGAAAGGGAAACAG